rnacentral:lncRNA from 1 species
CCGUUACUGCUUCAGGGAGUGACCGAUGCUAAGAGGGAAGCGAAACGCUAUGUUACCCGCGAGAUAUCCGCUUUCUUUCUUCCUGCAGUGGUAGCGACACUACCGAUGUGUAAAGAUCAACUCCUGCUUCUCUGUCUUCUUCAGUUAAGUCAGUUCAGCUGGGCCUAUUUGUAUAGCAAAGAGCUCCUUCUGUUACUCUUCUUUGUUGAAUGGAGCCGAGGUCGGCGAACGAAUGUUAUUAGCUAUUUCCUCUAAUUGUAUUUCUCGCAUUCUGCUAGGCCUCUGGGCCUAUGUUCUAAAUGAAAGAGCUAUGGACUGAAAACCUAAAGGGAAGUAGUUCCCGCAUCUGCUAAUUCAGUCUGCUGUGGAUUUACCGGCUUCCAAGUCAGCAAAGUCUAAAGGGAAAGCUAAACCUGGAGUUCGAGUCGGAAAUCUGUAUUAUCUUCUUAAAUAAAGCCAAGUAAAUCCAAGUAAAGUAGCUAGUGCAUCUCCUUUCUUGCAGAACCUCUGCUGCGAGGGAAAGGUGACUCUCGCCUUACUUAACAAGGGCCUGGCCCGGUUUGCGUUGCUCGGCCGGCUUAAUCUUAAGAGCAAGAAGAAUCUAUCUUGCGUGGAUAUGGGAGCGUCCUGAAAUGGUAGCUCGGAUGCUCCUUGGCGGGCUGAUUGGUAAUAUGAAAGACCUCGACCUGCUUCGGGAGCCGAUCUACCCCAAAGGAGUAUACAGAUUAAUCAGUAGAACCGGGGCCGGCGGUAAUUGAUUAGGGAGUUGACCCAGCCCCCUAUCUACGCUACGCCCCGUAGGGGACGAGCAAUUGAUUCUUUCUUUUCGAUAGGAAAGCAUCGGAGAGUUGACUCGAGGCCGGAGUUUUAGAAUACAAUCUAGAAGAUCUGGUCGAAUGGUAGAAGAAUCUAUGGGUUCGUUAGGAAUCGAUAGUCGUUGUCUGGACAUACGAGUCACAGCCGGCCGGGAAGAGGAGAGAUCAACGACGGAGCUACUUGUUGGAAAGAAAGAAUAUAGAGAGAAUGAUGAUCCUUUACUUUAACUGACUCAGGCUCCGGACCAACCAGUUCUUCCUGCUGGUCAAUCAUCAUAAGGCUGGACAUGUAGGUCUUGCCCAAUGACCAACAAGACCUUAUUUAUACCAUAGUAGGGGCCGGGGGUUAUCUCUCUCUGUGAGAAGCUUCUCGCUGUCCCUGAUGCCUGUGUUCUUUUAUGUUUUCAUCAAUUAAUCUUUGCUUAACAUAAUAGCAUAUAGGACAUGUCACAUGCUCAUGUUUAUCAAAGUAAUCCAACCUUUUGUCCAAAUAUUUUGGGAUUUUAUAAAACUUUGGCAUAGUUGAAGACUUUUAAGGUACCAAGGUACUUACUGUGUUAAUCAUGGAACGCAAUCUCUCUUCCUCCUGCUCAGGGUUCAUUCUUUUCUGUUGUAGCGCAUUAAUAAUGGACUUGGAAUUCUUCACUUUCUGUAGCAUAAUUAUUGUGAAACUCUCAU